GACGAACGCUGGCGGCGUGCUUAACACAUGCAAGUCGAGCGGGUAACGGUCCCGUUUCGGGGUACGACGAGCGGCGGAACGGGUAGAGUAACACGGUGGGUGACCUCGCCCUCAGCUCCGGGGAUAAGCCUGGGAAACCGGGGUCUAAUACGUGGAUAUCGACCCCAUGACGCAUGUUGUGGGGUGGAAAGCCCUGUGCGGCUGAGGAUGGGCCCGCGGCCUAUCAGCUUGUUGGUGGGGUGAUGGCCUACCAAGGCGACGACGGGUAGCCGGCCUGAGAGGGCGACCGGCCACACUGGGACUGAGACACGGCCCAGACUCCUACGGGAGGCAGCAGUGGGGAAUCUUGCGCAAUGGGCGAAAGCCUGACGCAGCGACGCCGCGUGAGGGAUGACGGCCU
rnacentral:rRNA from 1 species